UGCCACUGGACCUUCCCUACUAUUACAAUGUACUCUGUAACCAUGGAUAUCUCCAUAACCAUGGGGUUUCGAAGUGUUGCGGUGUUACCUUGUAUAGCUUCCCCUACACCCUCCGCCCUCCACACCCAAAAACCCAAAAAUUCGGUUUUUCCUACUCUUGAGCUUAGCCUGUAAACGUGCGGAACUGCGUAUCACACGAGAAGGAACUCACUUUGAACAUUUGUUAAGGUGUGCUGACUACAUACAAUCACUGCAUGCUAAGAAAACAUGUCUGCAAUGCAAUGCCAUCACCACCACACACCAUGUGAAACGAAUAUACAUGUGAAACAUA